AGAGUUUGAUCCUGGCUCAGAUUGAACGCUGGCGGCAUGCUUUACACAUGCAAGUCGAACGGUAACGCGGGGGCAACCCUGGCGACGAGUGGCGAACGGGUGAGUAAUACAUCGGAACAUAUCCAGUAGCGGGGGAUAACCUAUCGAAAGAUGGACUAAUACCGCAUACGAUCUACGGAUGAAAGCAGGGGACCGCAAGGCCUUGCACUAUUGGAGUGGCCGAUGUCGGAUUAGCUAGUUGGUGAGGUAAAGGCUUACCAAGGCGACGAUCCGUAGCUGGUCAGAGGACGAUCAGCCACACUGGAACUGAGACACGGUCCAGACUCCUACGGGAGGCAGCAGUGGGGAAUUUUGGACAAUGGGCGCAAGCCUGAUCCAGCCAUGCCGCGUGAGUGAAGAAGGCCUUCGGGUUGUAAAGCUCUUUCGGUGAAGACGAAACGGUUCGUGCUAAUAACGCGGACUAAUGACGGUACUCACAGAAGAAGCACCGGCUAACUACGUGCCAGCAGCCGCGGUAAUACGUAGGGUGCAGGCGUUAAUCGGAAUUACUGGGCGUAAAGCGUGCGCAGGCGGUUUGCUAAGACAGGUGUGAAAUCCCCGGGCUUAACCUGGGAAUUGCGCUUGUAACUGGCAAGCUAGAGUGUGGCAGAGGGGGGUGGAAUUCCACGUGUAGCAGUGAAAUGCGUAGAUAUGUGGAGGAACACCGAUGGCGAAGGCAGCCCCCUGGGUUAACACUGACGCUCAUGCACGAAAGCGUGGGGAGCAAACAGGAUUAGAUACCCUGGUAGUCCACGCCCUAAACUAUGUCAACUAGUUGUCGGGGAAGAAAUUCCUUGGUAACGAAGCUAACGCGUGAAGUUGACCGCCUGGGGAGUACGGCCGCAAGGUUAAAACUCAAAGGAAUUGACGGGGACCCGCACAAGCGGUGGAUUAUGUGGAUUAAUUCGAUGCAACGCGAAAAUCCUUACCUACCCUUGACAUGCUAGGAAGCCCGCAGAGAUGUGGGUGUGCCCGAAAGGGAACCUAGACACAGGUGCUGCAUGGCUGUCGUCAGCUCGUGUCGUGAGAUGUUGGGUUAAGUCCCGCAACGAGCGCAACCCUUGCCAUUAGUUGCUACAUUCAGUUGGGCACUCUAAUGGGACCGCCGGUGACAAACCGGAGGAAGGUGGGGAUGACGUCAAGUCCUCAUGGCCCUUAUGGGUAGGGCUUCACACGUAAUACAAUGGUCGGUACAGAGGGCUGCCAACCCGCAAGGGGGAGCUAAUCCCAGAAAGCCGAUCGUAGUCCGGAUUGUAGUCUGCAACUCGACUGCAUGAAGCCGGAAUCGCUAGUAAUCGCGGAUCAGCAUGUCGCGGUGAAUACGUUCCCGGGUCUUGUACACACCGCCCGUCACACCAUGGGAGUGGGUUCCACCAGAAGUAGUUAGCCUAACCGCAAGGAGGGCGAUUACCACGGUGAGAUUCAUGACUGGGGUGAAGUCGUAACAAGGUA
rnacentral:rRNA from 1 species